CAAAGGAGCAAUCCGCUGAAAGAUGGGCUCGCGUCCGAUUAGGUAGUUGGCGGGGCAACGGCCCACCAAGCCGACGAUCGGUAGCCGGACUGAGAGGUUGAACGGCCACAUUGGGACUGAGACACGGCCCAGACUCCUACGGGAGGCAGCAGUGAGGGAUAUUGGUCAAUGGGGGAAACCCUGAACCAGCAACGCCGCGUGAGGGAAGACGGUUUUCGGAUUGUAAACCUCUGUCCUCUGUGAAGAUGAUGACGGUAGCAGAGGAGGAAGCUCCGGCUAACUACGUGCCAGCAGCCGCGGUAAUACGUAGGGAGCAAGCGUUGUCCGGAUUUACUGGGUGUAAAGGGUGCGUAGGCGGCUUUGCAAGUCAGGAGUGAAAUCCAUGGGCUUAACCCAUGAACUGCUUUUGAAACUGCAGAGCUUGAGUGGAGUAGAGGUAGGCGGAAUUCCCGGUGUAGCGGUGAAAUGCGUAGAGAUCGGGAGGAACACCAGUGGCGAAGGCGGCCUGCUGGGCUCUAACUGACGCUGAGGCACGAAAGCGUGGGUAGCAAACAGGAUUAGAUACCCUGGUAGUCCACGCUGUAAACGAUGAUUACUAGGUGUGGGUGGACUGACCCCAUCC
rnacentral:rRNA from 1 species